GGGGGUGGCUUCGGCCCGGUGGCCGGCCCGGUCUUCAAAAUCGGUGGGGCGGCGGCAAGCGGCCCGGUGGGUUCGACUCCCAUCCACUCCCG
rnacentral:tRNA from 1 species